GCGGUGUUAGCUCAGUUGGUAGAGCAUUGGAUUGUGAUUCCAAGGGUCACGGGUUCAAGCCCCGUACAUCGCCCCA
rnacentral:tRNA from 1 species